rnacentral:tRNA from 1 species
GCCCACGUUUCGAAAUGGAUAACGCGUCUGCCUUCGGAGCAGAGGAUGGUAGGUUCGAAUCCUGCCGUAGUCG